UACAGAGGUCUCAAGCGUUGUUCGGAUUCAUUGGGCGUAAAGGGUGUGUAGGUGGCGCGCUAAGUCAGGUGUGAAAUUUCGGAGCUUAACUCCGAAACUGCAUUUGAUACUGGCGUGCUUGAGGACUGGAGAGGAGACUGGAAUUCACGGUGUAGCAGUGAAAUGCGUAGAUAUCGUGAGGAAGACCAGUGGCGAAGGCGGGUCUCUGGACAGUUCCUGACACUGAG
rnacentral:rRNA from 1 species